AAAAUCUUAGGUUAUAUAAACCUUCAACCUUCAAAGUUGUCAUAAAUUGUUAAAUUAGAUUUUA
rnacentral:tRNA from 1 species